rnacentral:rRNA from 1 species
UACGUAGGGGGCAAGCGUUGUCCGGAUUUAUUGGGCGUAAAGAGCGUGUAGGCGGCCAAACAGGUCAGCUGUGAAAACUCGAGGCUCAACCUCGAGACGUCGGUUGAAACCGUUUGGCUAGAGUCCGGAAGAGGAGAGUGGAAUUCCCGGUGUAGCGGUGAAAUGCGCAGAUAUCAGGAGGAACACCCAUGGCGAAGGCAGUAGACUGGGCAUCUCCUGACGCUGAGGCGCGAAAGCGUGGGUAGCAAACAGG